CCAUUUUGGUAUAAAAUAUUAAGUAUAUGUCAAUUUAUUAAACAAUUUGUAAAUAUAGCAAAUUUUUUAUUUUUUUUAAUAUAUUCCAAUAUUGCCCUUGUUUUAAAAAGGAUAUUGGUGCAACUUUCUCCUCCUCCAUUUUCACCAUCAUUCCCCUUCUCCACGAUUUUCUCCCUUCUUCAUCUUUACCACCGUUUCUGUGAUUUUCUCCACGUUAAGAACACCUUCUUUUGCCUCCAGCGACGCCUUCUUCCGCCUCCAACGACGCCUUCUUCCGCCUCCAACCACAACUUCUUCCGCCUCCAACCACACCUUCUUCCACCUCCAACCACACCUUCUUCCGCCUCCAACCAGUCGUCAUCUUAUUGUCUAUGAUUUUCUCCUACUUUCGUUAAAUCAUCUGCUACUAUAAAGCGUGGAGGGCAAAGGAACUUGUUAUGAAUUCUUUGAAUGGUGAAGUAAAAGAAUCUUAUGCCUUGAUUCCAAACUUUUUUAUGAAACUAAAAGAAAUUAACCCAGGUUCAUUCACUGCUUAUGAAACUGAUACAGAAGGACAUUUUAAGUACUGUUUUAUGGCUAUUGGAGCAUGCAUUGAAGGAUGGAAAUAUUGUAGGCCCAAUAUAUCAGUUGACGGUACAUUUUUAAAAUCUAAAUAUGGUGAAACUCUUUUGACAGCCUCAACAAUUGAUGGUAAUAAUCAAAUUUUUCCAUUGGCCUUUAGUAUUGUAGAUUCUGAAAAUAAUGCAUCCUAGAGAUGGUUUUUUGAGAAUAUAAAGAAUAGUUUAGGGGAUCGGGAAGAUCUAGUGGUAAUAUCUUAUCGACAUUUAAGUAUCCCAAAAAGUGUUCAUAAUGUUUUUUCAAAUACUUAAUAUUGCGUUUGUUUGCAACACCUUCUAAAAAUUUGAAGUUCAUAUAUAAGGACCCUAUAAUUGAUAAGCUCUUUUUUAGAUGUGGAAAAACAUAUACAGUUGUUGAUUUUGAGACUAAUAUGAGAUGGAUGAAGUCUAUGUAUCCUAGUAUACGAGACUAUCUUAGUAAGGUUAGUUUUGAAAAGUGGGCUCGAGCAUACUGUACAUGGAAAAGAUAUCAAAUGAUGACUACAAAAAUUUUAGAAAGCUUAAAUGCAGUUCUAAAAGAAUCUAGAGAUUUUCUUGUUGCAGCAUUACUCGAUUCUAUCAGACAAAUACUUCAAAAUUGGUUUUAUGAUCGGAGAUAAGUUGAAUGUUGUAUGAGAAUUGUUUUAACUUGUUGGGCUGAGGGAGAAUUACGAAUACAACAUCAAAACUCAAGAAGCUUCACAGUUAAUGCUAUUAAUGAUGUUGAAUUUCAAGUGAUUAAUGGAAGAAAACAAUUUAUUGUAUGGUUAGAUUGCAAAUCAUGUACUUGUCGCGUUUGGGAUCUUGAUGAAAUUCCAUGCGCCCACGUUCUUGCUGUUCUUUGUCGGCGUAAUAUGAAUACUUACUCUUUUGUUUCCAAGUAUUUUUUGUCAAGUACUUUGAUUUCAACUUAUACUGGAUCAGUUCAUCUGGUUGAGAACCAUGCUAAUUGGAAGUCUAUUGGGAUUGAGAAUAACAUACUACCUCCAACUUUCAAGCGUCGAGCAGGACGACCGCGAAAACAAAGAAUACUAUCAAUUGGCGAGAAGAAAAGUCACUCAAGAUGCAUUCAUUGUCAUCGUGCUGGUCACAAUCGUAGAAAUUGCAAAUUUACCAUUUUUAGAGUGACGUGAUAUUAUGUUUUUUAUAAUAAUCUUUUAGCUUUAGCAUAUAGAGCAUUUAUUUUGUGUGUGUAGUAAAUACUUUCUAUUUGUUUGACUCAAACCGUUCAA